GUUCCUUUCUCCAGCGCCACCUGGGCACAGAACCCGCUCGGAGGUGGGGGGGGUCGUGGGGGGAGGUGGGGGGGCGGGGGUCGUGGGGGGACGUGGGCUGGGGCACAAUGAAUCUGCACCUCCCAACAGCAGGAAGAUCAGAGGAUUGGAAGAGGAGAGAGCCCUCUUUUCCCGCCCUCUCCUCCUAGCACCCUCCCCGUCUCCCGCUGCUCCCCCAACCAUGAAAAAAAUAGCAGUCUGAAACCAAGAGAGGAACCCAGUCUUUAUUUUGAAACAAUAGGUGGCCUCCUGGUGGCUGGAACGUGCUUUCGCCUGCGGGGCCCAGUGUCCGGACCCCACUGGAUCUGUGGAAAAAAACCAAAGUUGCGAAGCGCUGGAGCCCGUGCAGCAACCGGACAGCAGAAUGAACUCCGCUGCUUUUCUAUGUUGGCUGAGAGAAGGGCGGGAGACUUGCCUCAGACUCACCACCACUUUGGAGAGAUCGACUGGAGGCUCCUGGGUUUUCUGAGGGGCCUGGGGGACAGCUGGCUCAGCUUUGGUCUUGGCUGGAGGAGCCCCUGCUGCUGCUGGCUUAGCAGCAGGUUUGGAGAUGGAGGGCCCUGCUGGUUUCUUCACGGGAACAUCCUUCUUGGGAGGCAUGAUGUCCGGUGGCCAAAGGACAGUGUGCGGAUGGGGGC
rnacentral:lncRNA from 1 species